UUCCCCUGAUUAUUCUAGUUCGCAUUAUUUCAGCAGCAUAUUAUCAGAACCCAAAGAGCUCUAACAAAAUACUGAUGCCCAAGCAUCAUUCUCAGAGAUUCUAAUUUAAUCAGUUUGGGUUAGGGCCUAAGCAAAUUAUAUUUUUAAAAAAGUUCCCAAGGUAUUUAUUCUAUAUUUUUAUUAUUUAUUUAUUUGUUUAUGGAGAAAGAGUGAGAGGAACCUAAGGUGUUUCUAAUGUGCAAUCAGAGUUAAAAACCAUUGUCCUAGUUAGAAGACAUCUCUCCUAUCGUUGAGCCGCCAUAACAUUUUAUCUAAGUAUCUUUUAUGACACAUAAUUUCUAGCUCUUUUUAUAGACAUUUUAGUUUUAAAAUAUUUUAUUGUUUAUUUUGUAGCAGGCACUAUUCUAGGCACUGGCAUAUAAAUAACAGUGAUUAAGACAAAGCACCUGCUCUCAUGGAGCUUACAUUCUGUCUGAUGGGGACACAGAUACUAAACAAGUAAUACAAGGUCAGGUUAUAAGUGUUACUAAAAGCAGGGCAAAGGGAUGGAGAAUAAGAGGAGCAGUCCCCUUUUAGAGAGGGUAGUUAGGAACAGCUUUCCUUAUUGCAAUCUUAGCUCCCUUUUAGACAGCACAUUGCUUAACAACAAAACCUGCAUCUAACUCAUGUUUGUAUGUCUCACAGUUUUUUGCACAGUGCUUGGCACAUAACAGGUGCUCAAUAAAUAGAUACUUGUUAUAUGAAUGAACAAAAGAAUGAGUGAGUGAAUGGAUCAAUGUGCCUUAUUAAUAGCUGUAUCCCCCAUAAUGCCCAGGGCUGUAUUUGAAAUACACCAGAUGCUCAAUAGAUAUUGGCUGAGUGAGUGAAUUUGACUGAAUUUUGGAACAAGUUUAUUGUGAUGGCACAUUUCCUGGGACUAGGCCAUCACAGGAACACAGGAUAUCAAGCUAAUCCUGAGAUUGAUGUGCCCAAACUCCUCAUUUUAAGGACAAAACUGAUGUUCAGACAGAUGAUUACCUACCUGGCUCAAGAUCACAGAAUAAAUCAAGCAAAAACUGACCUGAGUGCCUACUUCUGACUCUUAGUCCAGUGCUCAUUCCAUCGAACUGAAAUACUUUUCCCAUUAUCAUCAGAAAACUAUUCUGAGGGUCAUUAACUUAAUCAGCCCAAGAAAUAACUCAGAUUAGCAUCAGUAAAACUAAAGAAAAUCUCAAUUUCCUUUGCUGAUAGCUCAAAAAUAGCACUUUUAACAGACCGGCUGCCCUACUCCACCAUUCCCAGCAAGGUAAGAAGACAAGACUUCCCAGAGCAGGCAAGGGGUCAGUGAAUUUCCAACUAUAAAUACAACUCUGAACCUUUCCCCUUUUCUAUCCUUAGCCACAUAUGCAAUGAGAUAUGGAACAACCACCCCAGGCUGAACAGGAAAGGCAACAUAAAAAAAACCAGUGGCUGAGAAACCAGAGAGGAACUGAAGGCCCUGGCCAGAAUCUACCUGGGAGCCUCCUGAGACCAGAGCUCUAGGAAUUCAUCUCCACAUUCCCCCAGUGCACAGCUCAGCAUCCGGCACAUGGUAGGUAUGCAACAAAUAUUUGUAGAAUGAAAACUCUGCCCACUUGCCUAGCUCACUGCAAACUAUCUAUUCCUAUGCCCCUCUUCAACUUACAGGACCUUCUUGAUGGAUAAGCCAUUGCCUAUUGUCAUGUUCUCUGGCUGCUUUGCUAUUCCAACUCCAGGCCACUGACAGAGUUUCUGGGUCAAAUCUACCUACCCCACUCCCAAUAUGUGCCCUUUGCCACUGAGCACAUUCUAAGAGCCAACAUGCUAAGCAAGUUCUAAAGUCUGAUGGCUGGUUCAGUGUCCCAGACGCACCUUUUGCUUUUGGAAUCAGUCUAGUUUAAAGACUGAGUUUGGGCGAUCUGGUACCUUUUGACACCAUACACUUCCCUAGUCCAGGAUGGAAGGGACUCAAGUCCUGUUCAACAAGCUCUGCUGAACCCCAAUCCUGGUGUCAGGGAAGCUCUGCUUAAGAGCCUAAGGUAGACACAGAAAAUGUAUCACUAAAAUCUAAGAAAGAAGGGCUCCGGAAAGGUCUGGACAAUAACGCAUCAGUUUUUGCUUCUGUAAGGCUGCUCUAAACCUUACGAGGCAAAUAGGAAGCCUUAUUUUUACUUCUUUAUGUUUCCAGAUCAGCAGAGGAAAAGUACACAUACAACACAAAAGGAAAAUGAUGACCCAAAAUUUAGUCCUGGUCUCUGCCACUAAUUUGCUGUGUGACCUCAGGCAAGUUAUUCUCCUUCUCUGAAUCUCUAUAUCCUCCAUUGUAAAGUCAUAGGCUUAAAUUUAGUGACCCAUUUCUGAAGGCCCUUCUAUGCCUGACAUUUGGCAAUUCCCUUGCCACUCCCAGGGUAGUUCUCAGACCAUGGUAUCACCUGGGAGCUUGUUAGAAAAGCUGAGGAGCCCUACUGACUCAGACCUGCAGAACCAGAAUCUGCAUUUUAACAAGAUCCCCAAGUGAUUUGUAUGCACAUUAAAAUUUGAGAAACACUGUUCUACAGCUUCUCAGAAUGACCCAGGCCGACCUGGAGCAUGACAUCUUCUGCAAGAAGCUGAAAGAAGAAUGAGUCUGUCACAGGACUUUACUGAAUGUGAUUAGAAGCAGCUGGCCAGUAGUAAGGGCGGGGGAGAAAUGCUGCAAGAUCCUUUUAAACUCAGCUGUGAUCCAUAAAAUGUCUCUCAAGUACUUAGAAUCUCUAAAUUUGAAGUCUUUAGAUAAAAUGACUUUAAAAAUACUAAUUAUGCACGGAAGUCUAACCAUGAACCAACCAUUAGCAAAUCCAGAGCUCCUUCUGUACUGGCAUGCUGCCAACGGGCACAAACAAAGCUCUAAAAUUGGCAAAGAGGUCACCUCUGAAACCACAGCAUUUCUCCCAGCCUCACCUGUCUCCUGACUGGUCCUCUCCUACCAGAAUGCCAGUCUCAGUUGAAAUCCCACAGAGAAGACCACACUCAAAGGAACCUUGCCUGGGCCAGGACAGCAGGGCAGAGAGGGCCACAACCUCUAGGGUCACAGGCCCACAUAGGGAAGCAGAAAGGGAAGAAGCAGAGCAGAUGGGAAGUAGAAAGGGAAGAAGGAGAGAAUCGGAGUGGAAGCAGCACAGAGUAAACAAACCUAGUGGUGGAGACCCCUGCUUCCAAAUCCAGGGAGAAGCCACUUUCUGGCUCGGUGACCAUCCAACUGAGAAAGUCUAAUUCAGCCAAUGGGGCUUUGAGACAAACAGUGAAAUAUCCCAAGCCCCAGCUUGCAGUCUUGGCUCUAAACUAAUGGGCAGGCAGCUUCCCUAACCCUCCCUUCACUCCUUCAGAUGAGAGGUCAUCACUUGCUCCUCUGUUACCACUAAUCCUGGCAUGAGAGCAUGAGAGUCUACCGCACAAUGCUAUAGAAUUAGUCAUCUUUGUUCACAUGGCCACCUCACUCACUAUGCAAGGACUCACUAUCUCAAUUGUCUAUUUCCCCAGCAAUGGAAGGGACAGGAGAGUGAGAGAGGCAGAAGAGAGAGUGGAGGGGGAACUUGGACUUGAUGACUGUGCAGGUCAUCAGCAAGUUAGGCCUCUUCCUUGAGGAGCCCUCAGUGUCACAGUGCCCCUUUUUUUCAUCCUCAACACACCAUGAAAAAAUAACUUAUAACCUUCAGAGCCUAGCUCUGAAACUCCAUAUUGCACCUGCUAAUGGCUCCUCUUCCACCUUACAGUUUCAGAAUCAUAUAAUAACUACAUCGUCAGGGAGUAUUUCUGAUUACCUGAUUUCACCAACCAACUCAGAUAGAAAUCUCAAGUAGAGAUCUGACUAGAAAAUUAUCUGUAAGUCAUUAGUUACAGCUAUAGUCAGCCUCCAAAAAUCAGUCUUCAAGAUCUCCAAACCCUACACUGAACCUAAGGGAGCAAGAUGACAGGACUCCUGAUUGUCUUUGCUGUACUUCUUAAAUAAUUAAGCCUGCUCUUACUGUGCUGGGUGAUAUGAACAAGAUUGCUCCAAGCACCUACAGAAUGGGCUACCAUGCUAAGCCCCAUUCCUUACUUAGGGAGGGAUGUGGGCUCCUCUUUGUGAGCUAUAACUGAGAACUGCUCCCUGGAGGAUCUCUAAGACUCAGCUUCUGUAGAAUACUUACUCUGACCUCCAGCAUGAGGUGCCCAUGCCAACACACCCCCCUUGCCUAAUUUUGCAUUAGCAUACUCUCAUUUGUCUCACUCAUGGACUGCAAGCUUUGUGAGCACAGGACUGUAAAACUUUGCCUCUGUAUCUAUGGUGGCCUGCACAAAAGAGUCAUUUGACAAAUGUUUCAUUAGUGAAUGAAUGAAUAAACCAAAGAAAAAAACAAUAAACAAACAAGAAUCAAAGAUCAUUCACUCAGUUUUACCAGUGUCAGUCAAGACUGCCCUACAAAUUCAUUGAGAGCUAGGCUUUCUUCUCAGUCCGAAACCAGAAUAGAAAAGGGAGACCCCAGGGGGUCUGGGGAACUUGAAUCUGGCAAAAAUGGGAUUUAAGCUGGCUUGGAAUUUUUUCUAGACCAAGGUAUACUAACAAGUAGGCUAUUCUGACCUAUUUCAGGUUCUACAAUGUUUUAUGCUUCUCUUACCAGAACUUUCAGGUCAGAAAUUUAUUCUUUAGAAACUGGAUGUUGUUUAUAUUUUAAUUAUUAAAUGCAAUGUAAAAGUAUUCAGCACAUAGUCAUUGUCUAAAGUACUAAAAUUUGUUGAACCUCAAUCUAUAGAAUUCCAUUAAUAUUUCUCCAUGUCAUGAACUAGGAAUUUUGCAAAUAGAGGAAUUACAGAACCACUCUGGGCCACCCACUUUUGUGAAUAUAAAAUCACUUAAGUAAGGCAAGCUGACUUUGUUGGAAUAGCCUCUAUUUUUUCAUCCACUUACAUAACUUCACAUUGUCAAAGUGCACCAAUAACUGGUGCUGUCAUCUCUCCUGCCCCCAAGAAAAAACUCCUUUGGGGCUCUUUCUACAUUUAUUUUCAAUUGCCAGAUCCCCAGAGGAAAAAAUCAAAUCACUGACGCUAUUUCAAACUACAUGCUCAAGGCAGCCACUAAGAGGAUUAUAGGGCAGCUCAGCUUUUGCUCUCUUUGAGGCAGGAAGACACCCCAUGGCUGUGAAGGAAAGGCAGGACACGUGUGUGGACAUUCAAAAUAUAGCAAGGAAACCCAAAACAACAGAAAGACAAGAGGAGCUGGAGGAUAAAGCUGUUUGGGACUAUGAAUCAUUCUAAGGCAACCAGACCAUGACUGGGGGAACCUUAAUGUAAAAACUUCAUAAAGACCCCUUAAUCGUCUGGCAAUUCCAAACAAACAGAUCUCCAGGCCUCAACAAUACAUGACAUAUGUACCCAUGGAAGAAGAAACUACAGACCAAGUGUAUUGAGGAAACUCAACUAAAUGAGUUUCUAAUAAAAUUACACAAACAAAAACUUUUAUCCUGAUUUUAUUUUGCAUAACAAUAAAUGAAAUUAUUUGAAGAAUGAAAACUUUAUCUACAAUUCUACCACAAAUACCACAUCACAUCUUUUCUUUCAUUAUUCAAUAUUCCCUUCAAAUCCAUAUCUGAGCAUGAACAGAAUUUUACUCAGAGACAUGACCCAGAUCCCAUUUCUCACUUGAUUUAAAAGGUUUUUCUAACUAAGUCCUAUAGAGCCCUCCUGUUCCUUGGAUGUGCCUCAGGAGCUACCACAGAAGGGACACACCAGUAGGUAGCCAAGUGGUAAGGCUUCAUUCUGCCAUCCCCCAGUUUCCUAUCCCUGUUCCCAAUUCAAUCAGAACAGUUACAUUUUUAUCUGUUUUUUAAGGCUCUGCAUACAAUUUAUUCGAAAAUAAAACAAAAAUUGGUUCUACUACUACUAAGCAUUUAAAAACUAAGAAUGUAUGCCAUCAUGGAAUUUCAGAGCUAGAAAGAACCUUAGAGAACCAGUGCUUUUUUUUUUACAGAUGCUAAAAGGCGAUAAAGAGAAGAAAGACUUGCCCAAGCUUACAUAGGCAAUUAGGAACUAGAAUUAGAUCCCAGGUCUCCACCCCAACACAAAGGCCCUAUUCCUAAUUCAGGAAUUCAAUAAAUAUUUAUCAAAUGCUACUAUGUGCCAUGCACUAAUUUAAGUACUGAGAAGUCAAGAGACAAAAACAACAAACAAACAAAAAACACCACACCUGCCCUCAGGGUGCUUACAAUUUAGUAGAGGAAGAUAAAUAAUAAACACAAGAAAUGAGCAAAGUACAGUAUAUUAGAAGGUAAUAAAGCAAAGACAGGGGAUGGGGACACCUGAGUGGGGAGGUUAGAGGUUACAAUUAGUGAAUUUCCUCAAAGGCCACUGCCAUUAGGUCUUUAUGCACCUAUAAGAAUAUGUGCACAUGUGUUCAUAGGCUCACUUAUUCAGAAGAAGAAAUAAUCUAAUGGUUAAGUGUGCCUGAAAUUUCCCAGGACCCCAUCUAUUUUUGUUAAAUGGCACGCAAAGCAAAUUGGUAUAACAAGCAAGAUGUUAAAACUAUUUUGUAAAAAAUGUUAAAUAGUAUCCUAGAAGCACAUACAAACAUGCUAUUAAUUGCUGCACUUGGCUCUAGAAUAAGCCAAGAAUGUAGCAAAAUAGAGUUAGAAGUGAGGACCUGGCUGUCAGGCUUAUUCUCCUGAGUGACAUUGUCUAAGAUGAUUAAAUUCUCUGAGCCUCAGUUUCCCUAUCUGUAAAAUAAAGGAGCCAAAGUAGAUAAUUUCUAAGGUUCACUCAAAUAUCAAAGCCCUCUAAUGUGUCAAAACCAUUAUAUAAUAUCUUAGUAGUCAUAUCAGCAUUAUUAUUUGAAUCCAAAGUAACCCUAAUAAUAACACAUUACAUUUAUAGAGUUGUUUCACAGUUUUCAAUGUGUCUUCACAUGCAUUAUUCUCAUCUGACAAGUAACAGAACAGCAUUUUUUUUCCAUGUUCUUAUAAAAAAGUCUGUCCCCUCAAUCAAUCCAAGGGAACAUGAAGCUCUUUCUGCUCUCAAGGGCCAAGGAAACCAGCAAGCUCCUCACAGAGAGUCUUGCAGAGUUGGGGGUGUCAUUCAUUAGGGUUGAGGAUAGCAAAAGCACAAGGGAUACCUUCAAAACCCAUUCCACAUUUGAUGGGUAGAGAGAAUUUUCAAAUGAGGUGCUUCAGACACCCAGGCAUCUGCCACUAUACCAGUGAUGAGCACAGAGAUCAAGGACCAGAAUGCAAAUUUUAAUAAUAUUUGCCAUAUUACCAUAUAUAUAUAGAUAUAUAUGUCAAGAACUUUUGAAAUUCCUUUCAUCCAGGAAUCAUAUUUCUAGCAAUUUUUCCUGAGAACAUAAUCAGAGAUCUGACUAAAAAUUUUAAGCACAAAGAUGCUGAUUAUAGCAUAACUUUUAGCAGCAAAAACAUGGAAACCACCUAAAUUUCCAAAAAUAAUCACAUAGACUGUGGCAUAUCCAUAUAAUGGGACAUUAUUUUUAAAUGUUAAAUGAUUAUUUUAAAGAAUAUUUAAAUAAUAUGGUGGAAAUGUUCCCAAUAUAGUUGUAGGUGGAAAAUAUGGAUAUAAAGCAAAGAUGUUAUAUAUAUAUAUCAUAUUUUAAAAAAUUACGUGUUGAAAAAAUACAUUAGAAUGUUACAGUAGUUUUCUCUAGGUUGUAAAAUUAUGGAUGAUUUUGGUACUUUUCUAUAAUUCUACAAAGAGCAUGUAUUAUUUUUAUAACCACAAAUUUGAACUUAUUUUUUUAAAAAAUCCCUGUUUUACCUACCUCCCAGAGUAGUGAUAAAACCAAUACAAGGAUGAGCUUUCUAACAAUAAGAACUAUCCUAAUAUGUAAUCCCCAGGAAGGGGGUGCAAGCCAGUAUUAUGUGAACCCAUGGCCCCUGAUUAUGUUAUAUUAAGACUUUAGGAACCUGGGAUUCUAGAGCUAUCUGAGAAAUCUCUUUACUCACAGGAUGUGUCCAACAUGGUUGGCAAAGCAGGACUGGGUUGGCCUGGUACUUCCUGCAUAGUGCCCUGAUGCUCAGUGGCAUGACUAUUAGAGAUAAAGCAAGCAGUCAGUAACCAGGAAACAGAGAUCCUCUGGGGGACCAACGCUAGCAGCCAAUGGCCACUAUGCCCUUACCAGCUUCUACUUCCCCAAGUGGUAAAGGCCCCUCUGCCCAGCAAACAUGUUGCUAGGACUUCUGCUACUGGUUCUAGGGUACUGUGCCAUGGUAACUUCCCUGAGGACCUAAACUGGUCCUAAGACUUCGUUCUGCAACUCUAGUCUCUGGCAUGCCAUGGGAGAGAAAAGGAGGAGUAAGAUUGUUAAAUACAACCCUAAGAUAUUUUUUGUUUUGCCCAUCAUUGGUUUGGCCCACUAAGUGUUUUAAAAGACAAUAUACCUGGGUAAGGGUUUGGCUUGGUCACAAUAUGUUAUAAGCAACUCAACUUACACCUAUAGCCCUGCAGGCACCUAAGCUUGAGAUAGGAAAACUGAGAUCCAAAGAAGCAAAGUGACUUGUUGAAGGCCAUGCAGCAAGUUAUUGGCAAAUUGGGUCUAGAAUUCAAGGGUCCUGACUUCUAGUUCCAUGUAUUACAUUACAGAAUCCUCAGCUCUUCAGGGACUCCAGACCUCUGACAUUAGGAGGGACCCUAGCCUCUUCCACCUUCCAUGGGUCUCCCCGCCCAAGAUUGCAGGAUACUUUAGCUUUUCAGUUGUCAAUGACAGAAACAUGGGGAAAUAUGAAGUUCAUACUUGGAGUCAGGAGUAACUGAUAGUGAGCAGAGAAAGAGGACAUCUUAGGAAUAUAUGGCUACAUUGAGUAAUAUAGAACCAAAGUUCUAUAAAGAACGUGAAAUGGCAUCUAAUGCUAAGUAGAUAAGUAAAUAAGGCUGCAAACAUCCAUACAGCUCACGAGAGACAGGCAGGGAUACUCUGUGGGUAUCAGGAGAGGCUGAUGUGUGGACGCAUGGGUGUUAGGGAAAGACGAGAAAUUUUGGCCUUGGUUUCUUGGCCCUCUUUAGCUUGGCAAUAGAUUUACUCUCAUCAGACAGUGAACUAACUGUUGUAGGACAGAGCAUAACAACUGUGAUAAAUUCUGAAUGAGUGAAUGUUACAUCCUGGGCUCCCUCUGCAAGACAGUGACUAUUACUGUGCCGUGGGAAGGAGAGCAGGAGUCUGGUGUGUAUAUUUUCCUACCAUUCUAUAUCUACAUAUUCUCAGAAAACAAAUGAUAAAAGAGUAAAAGGUAAAGCAAGGACAUGAGGAAGACAGUGUGGCAGAACAAGGAGAAGGAGAAAGGAAGAUUAGGGUAGAGGAUAGUAGAAAAGCAUAUUUUAAUAAUAAAUAAUUUAGAUGACAAGCCUAGAAAUACGUUUUUUUCUUUCCAAUUUAAAAAGGAAAAUGGACUUCAUUAUUCUGACUUCUAUUCACACACUGACCUGUCUCCACUUCCCUCCUGAGCCUGUUGGUUUCCAAGAUAAUGCAGUAUCAAGGUAAAUCAGACAAGAGCAUUUGAAUGUGGACAGAAAAAUCCACUCUCAGCCCUACCACUUGCACUGGAAUACUGUGAACUGCCAUGAGUCUUCUCAGGUGGGAAGACUGCUAAAAACAGUGAAUUAAUUUGGUUGUUUCAGUGCGGAGAAGCUGUGGUGCCACCUCGCUGCAUGAAUACAUUGUGCUACCGGCUUCCUCUGGCUCACCCAGGUGUGCCCAGGCAUCACAGGCAGUGUGACUCCUUAGGGAUGGGACAGUCUUUGGCAGGGAGGGAGAGUCAAUGAGCUGGAAGGGAGCAAUGACACAAGGGAUAUCCCAAAAGUGCAAACCCAAAGAACAGGACAGCCUCUGGGUCAAAUCCAUAGCUCAGUGGAACCCUGUCCAUCUGGUAGCAGACGGCUGUUCUAGACUCAGCUAUUCCCUUGUGAAAACCUCUUUGGUAAUGGUGUUGUCAGUCCCUUUCUCAGUCCAAUGCUCAGACAUCAUCAAGCCAUACAACCAGGAAUGUCACAAAGAUUUUCAGCAAUAAAAACAGCAGAAGGAACUGUUAUUUACUUAUUUUAUUUUGAAUUAAAGGUAUUAAUUACAGAAGAAAGAGCCCCAGAAAAACUUUCUAAUAAAACAGGCAGUGUACUCCCCAGCUUGGUUCCUCCUUCCCACUGCCAGUCUAACAAUGAAGAGGAAAGCUGAAUGGUAAGGGGUCUAGCAAACAGUCCAAUCUACUAGGUGCAACAGGGAAGGUGGAAGAGCAUGUUUCAGAGCUAAAAGAGGAAACCCAAGCUACCUUGCACCCUCAACAUUCCUGUCCUCAUGGGCAAGAUAUCAACAUCCCAGGAUGCUAGCAAGCCACCUGGGAUGGCAGAAAGGACAGCACACUACAAGUCACUAUAUCUGGGUGGCAAGGCCCAGCUCUGCCACUGAUAUGCUGUGCAGUCUUUGGACCAAUGCUUAGCCUCUAUGAGUUCUAGUGUCCCAAUCUGUAGAACAGAGAUAAUAAUGUGAACCUAAUAAUAUUAUUAGCAGAAAUAAAUGAGACAGUAUACAUAUGGAAUGUUAGGUAAGGAAGCCCUCAAACACUGUCAGUUUCCCACCCCCACCCAGUCCCACACACUCGUUUCUUUUUAAAAAAAAUUAUCGGUCUUGAGGGGUCCUUUCUAUUAAAAGUUUUCCAUCAGCCUCACACUGGAGAAAGUAAAUGCAAACCACUGCCCAAUGUCAGAUCACCCACAGCUAAAGGCAGGCUCAAAGUCACUGUACUUCUGAAUUGUGGCCAAAAUCAUUAGAAAUAGGAAGUUUCCUUUUUUUCUAAUAAUUUGUUUCUCCUCCAACAUUUUAUUAUAAAAAUUUUCAAACAUACGGAAAGGCUUAAAUACUUGUAUACAAUUAGCACCCAUAUUCCUACUACCUGGAUUCUACAGUUAACUUUUGCUGUAUUUGCUUUAUCACAUAACAGGCCAUCCCUCUCUCCAUUCAUCAAUCUACCUUUUUUAAUGCAUUUCAAAAUAAGUUGCAGAUAGAAGUGUCCUUCACAUAUGCUUUGAUGAGUUUUUCCCCAAAUUUUUUUAUUGUGGCAAAAUACACAUAACACAAAAUUUACCAUCCUAACCAUUUUUAAGUG